rnacentral:rRNA from 1 species
ACGGAGGGUGCAAGCAUUAAUCGGAUUUAUUGGGCGUACAGGGCGCGUAGGCGGUCUGUUAAGUGAGAAGUGAAAGCUCUGGGCUCAACCCAAAAAUUGCUUUUCAUACUGGCAGACUGGAGUGAUGCAGAGGUUUGUGGAAUUCCUGGUGUAGCGGUGAAAUGCGUUGAUAUCAGGAGGAACACCGAUGGCGAAGGCAGCAAACUGGGCAUUAACUGACGCUGAGGCGCGAAAGCGUGGGUAGCAAACGGG